rnacentral:tRNA from 1 species
GCCCCGGUCGUCUAGCCCGGUCAUCCCGCCUGGGCCGUGAGGAUACCGGCCUCUCGAGCCGGAGAACCCGGGUUCAAAUCCCGGCCGGGGCACCA